ACGAACGCUGGCGGCGUGCCUAAUACAUGCAAGUAGAACGCACAGUUUAUACCGUAGCUUGCUACACCAUAGACUGUGAGUUGCGAACGGGUGAGUAACGCGUAGGUAACCUGCCUGGUAGCGGGGGAUAACUUUUGGAAACGAUAGCAAAAACGCCUUAAUAUGAAUUUUUGAAGGAUAUUUGAUUGAAAAAUGCUAUGCCAUCCCUACCAAUUGAACCUGCGUUGUUUUAGCUAGUAGGUGAGGUAACGGCCAACCUAGGCGACGAUACAUGGCCGACCUGAGAGGGUGAUCGGCCACACUGGGACUGAGACACGGCCCAGACUCCUACGGGAGGCAGCAGUAGGGAAUCUUCGGCAAUGGACGAAAGUCUGACCGAGCAACGCCGCGUGAGUGAAGAAGGUUUUCGGAUCGUAAAGCUCUGUUGUAAGAGAAGAACGGGUGUGAGAGUGGAAAGUUCACACUGUGACGGUAUCUUACCAGAAAGGGACGGCUAACUACGUG
rnacentral:rRNA from 1 species